CAGGAACAAAUCAGGGUUCUGGAAAUGUGUUUAUUUGACCAGGUGUACAAUACAAUUCCACCUUUCUGCAUGCCAGGUUUUUUUACUCAACGGUGGACAUUUAUGAGAAUUGGUGCACAUGAGAAUUUGCUAUCGGUAUAUGUCAAAAUACUAAUGGCCCUAAAAGAAUCAGAAGAAGGCAAAUUGACAUUCUG